CCCGUAAUCCGGGUUGCGGACAGUGUCUGGUGGGUAGUUUGACUGGGGCGGUCUCCUCCUAAAGAGUAACGGAGGAGCACGAAGGUUGGCUAAUCCUGGUCGGACAUCAGGAGGUUAGUGCAAUGGCAUAAGCCAGCUUGACUGCGAGCGUGACGGCGCGAGCAGGUGCGAAAGCAGGUCAUAGUGAUCCGGUGGUUCUGAAUGGAAGGGCCAUCGCUCAACGGAUAAAAGGUACUCCGGGGAUAACAGGCUGAUACCGCCCAAGAGUUCAUAUCGACGGCGGUGUUUGGCACCUCGAUGUCGGCUCAUCACAUCCUGGGGCUGAAGUAGGUCCCAAGGGUAUGGCUGUUCGCCAUUUAAAGUGGUACGCGAGCUGGGUUUAGAACGUCGUGAGACAGUUCGGUCCCUAUCUGCCGUGGGCGCUGGAGAACUGAGGGGGGCUGCUCCUAGUACGAGAGGACCGGAGUGGACGCAUCACUGGUGUUCGGGUUGUCAUGCCAAUGGCACUGCCCGGUAGCUAAAUGCGGAAGAGAUAAGUGCUGAAAGCAUCUAAGCACGAAACUUGCCCCGAGAUGAGUUCUCCCUGACUCCUUGAGAGUCCUGAAGGAACGUUGAAGACGACGACGUUGAUAGGCCGGGUGUGUAAGCGCAGCGAUGCGUUGAGCUAACCGGUACUAAUGAACCGUGAG
rnacentral:rRNA from 1 species